ACUGCGCAUAGCUCACUUUCUUGAGCAACCCUGUGUCCCCGCACCCCGCUCCUCUUCUUUCGGGUUCUAGGCAGCCGUGGGCGCUGCGACCCUUCUCUCACUGUCAGAGGGGCGGGAGCUCUCGGCCUGCGCCGCCUCCGCUGCCUGCUUGGUCGCGGGCUUGCCGGGAAUGGUGACAGCCCGGGCCCCCUCUUGGCCAAAGAAGUCCUCGAAAGCGUUCGGCGCACGGGCUUUGUCCAGCUUUUUAAACCGUAACAAGGACCGGGGCCGGGCGCGGUGGCUCACGCCUGUAAUCCCAGCAUUUUGGGAAGUCGAGGCGGACGGAUUACUUGAGGUCAUGAGUUCGAGACCAGCCUGGCCAACACGGUGAAACUCUGUCUUUAAAAAAGAAAACAAAAACAAUAACAAGGACCCUAGAACAGCUCUUAGGUGGGGCGGGAGACAGAGAUCGGAAGCCCUUUCUAGUUUAAAUCUACACUAGGGUUAGAAGACCAAAUACAGGACGUCCAAUUAAUUUCCUUUUUUUUCUUUUUCCUUUUCUUUUCUUUUUUCUUUUUUUAAGAUGGAGUCUUGCUCCCAUGCUGGAGUGCAGUGGCGUGAUCUCGGCUGACUGUAACCUCCGCCUCCCGGGUUCAAGUGAUUCUCCUGCCUCAGCCUCCGGAGUAGCUGGGAUUACAGGUGCCCGGCUAAUUUUUGUAUUUUUAGUAGAGACAGGGUUUCACCAUGUUGGCCAGGCUGGUCCCGAACUCCUGACCUCAGGUCAUCCUCCUGCCUCAGCCUCCCAAAGUGUUGGGAUUACAGGCACGAGCCACUGAACCCGGCCAAAAUUUGAAUUUCAGAGAAACAACAAAUACUUUUUAGUAUAAACAUGUCCCAAAUAUUGCAUGGAAUAUACAAAGUACAUAUUUGUUGUUUCUGUGAAAUUGGAUUUAACUGGACACCCUGUAUUUUUAUUUUCCAAAUUGCAAGUCACUUGUACAUCAUAUCCUUGCACCCCUCUGAACCCUAUGCACCACCUUCCCCACCCCAGCAAAGAUAUCCAGACGCUGUAUGCAGGAAGAACUGAAUUUCAGAGGACACCGUUUGAUCUUCAACACCUGGCAGUUUACAAAACAGCCUGAAGAGGAGAGGGGGAAUCCUGGUGAGAAGCAUUUGGAAUUCAAGCUCAGAGAAGAAGACACGGAGUCCCAGCUGAGAACUCAAACUGGUAGAAGGAAGAUUAUUUUUCCUUCUCUAUAGGUGCUUGGAGGUAACGAGGGGAAAGGAGUUGAAAGGAAGGUGACAUUUCAGGUGGGCACCUGGGAUGGAGGCAAGGAAUCACGAAGUGGCGUCUCCUCGGAAGGGGCAGCCUGAUGUCUUUAACCACUGAACUGUGGUUUCCAACUGGAUGCGCUUUGGGUUCAGGGCUAAGACACGCGUAGGCGGUGCAGACAGUUCAAUUCGUGGGCGGCUUUUUCUCUCCCCUGCGCGGUUUUGCAGAACUGAGGAUUCACGUUUGCCACGCAGUCUCUAAAUCCUCCUCCCAGCCCUCGCCGGAUUUCUGCAUCGGAAUUGGAUUGGAUCACACACAAAAGAAGAGCCCAGGAACUCGUUCACCACCUUGCACCUUGCCUGUUAGUUCACGGCAUAAUGGUAACAGAGUCUUCAUUAAUGGAAGCAACGUUACUACCGUGAGCCCGGAUAGCUCAGUCGGUAGAGCAUCAGACUUUUAAUCUGAGGGUCCAGGGUUCAAGUCCCUGUUCGGGCGGUAUCUUUUUUUUCCUCAUUAAAAGAGUAAGAACCAA